GUAGGUGGCAAGCGUUGUCCGGAAUUAUUGGGCGUAAAGCGCGCGCAGGCGGUUCUUUAAGUCUGAUGUGAAAGCCCACGGCUCAACCGUGGAGGGUCAUUGGAAACUGGAGAACUUGAGUACAGAAGAGGAAAGCGGAAUUCCACGUGCAGCGGUGAAAUGCGUAGAGAUGUGGAGGAACACCAGUGGCGAAGGCGGCUUUCUGGUCUGUAACUGACGCUGAGGCGCGAAAGCGUGGGGGAGCAAACAGGAUUAGAUACCCUGGUAGUCCACGCCGUAAACGAUGAGUGCUAAGUGUUAGGGGGUUUCCGCCCCUUAGUGCUGCAGCUAACGCAUUAAGCACUCCGCCUGGGAGUACGGCCGCAAGGCUG
rnacentral:rRNA from 1 species